AUGUCGGCUUCCACACUCUGGCGCAGGGCUACUUCAUUCUCAUAUCUGAAACAAGGAGGAUACAAACCCUGGAUAUACAGACCAAUGAAGGAAUACCUGGACAAAGACUGACGAUAAAUAGAGAUUUGAUUUCAUAUCCUGGCACCAUUUGUUAAUACACUAAUUCAUGUUGGAAUAGUAAUAGUUUGAGACAAAGAGUUAACUGUUACUUUAAGACCCAUCUUUCUUUAAAGGUUACCCAAAAGAUAUUACAGUCAACACUUCAACAGCUCAUAGCUAUUUUGCUCUGGAUGAGUUCAGGAAAAUAUAAACGCUGUUAUGGGCAUCCAAAGUCAUUAUUGAAAACACCGGCUUUCUUUGUACCACAUCAACUGAGCUUACUUCAGCCUGAAGUCGUCAGCUGCCAGCCUGGCAUUGUCGAUCUGCAGCAGGACAUUGGCAUUGUCAGUGGUCAGGCUCGUAGUUCGACUCCUCCAGAGCCCGGACCUUGUCCAUAUAGGAAGCCAGACGGUCGUUCAGGUUCUGCAUGGUUACUUUUUCAUUUCCGGAGAGAAGGCCGCCACCAUCUCCUCCAUAUCCACCGCCAAAGCCUCCUCCGAAGCCGCCUCCGCCGAAGCCGCCUCCACCGUAGCUGCCUCCACCGUAGCUGCCUCCACCAAAGCUGCCACCCCCGAAACUGCCUCCUCCAUAGCCCCCACCGAAGCUGCCUCCUCCGUAGCCCCCACCAAAGCUGCCACCUCCAAGACCUCCAUAGCCACCCGAUGAACCCCCAAAGCAACCUCCUCCAGAGCUCCCACGGCUAAAGGAGCCACCGCUGAACCCCCCUGAGCUAAACCCUCCACCAUGGGAGCUUUUGGUGCUGGAAAUUCUGAGGGAUGAUCCUCCACCACCUCCUCCUCCUCCACUGCGGGAGGAAGAGUACUGCUUGCUGGAGCUGUACCGAACAGACAUGGUGAUGUAGUGUAGCCCAGGGAGUGCCUGCUACCAAGGACAGGGACGAGCCUUUAUAUACUGAGAGGGCGUGGCUCACAGGUCCUCGGGUUUGCUUGCUUGGACAGUUUUCUUUUUGUCGGCUUAGCAUCUUUGGCUGAUGAUUGCAUAAAUUAAUAUGCAGCAAUAACCAAUACCUUUUCAAUGUGUUUGUAUCUGCCCUGGGUACGACAGGAGACUUGCUGUGUUGAAACUGAAAAUGGGUGGAGUUCAGAUGAGUCCAUUUUACCUUUGAGGACCAUUGAGUAACACUGUUUCUAAUGCUAACUUAGGCGGUAUUCAGUAUUUGCUAAGUAGGAAAAAUAAAAGAAAUCUGACUACAAAGUA